rnacentral:rRNA from 1 species
GAUGAACGCUGGCGGCGUGCCUAAUACAUGCAAGUCGAACGAGGUGCUUUUGUAGCAAUACGAGAGUAUCCUAGUGGCGAACGGGUGAGUAACGCGUUGGUGACCUGCCCCAAAGUGUGGGAUAACAGUCCGAAAGGAUUGCUAAUACCUCAUGUGGUCAUUGGAUUUAGAAACUAAUGACUAAAGCAGUAAUGCGCUUUGGGAGGGACCUGCGUCCCAUCAGCUAGUUGGUGAGGUAACGGCUCACCAAGGCGACGACGGGUAGGGGACCUGAGAGGGUGGCCCCCCACAAUGGAACUGAAACACGGUCCAUACACCUACGGGUGGCAGCAGUAGGGAAUAUUGCUCAAUGGGCGAAAGCCUGAAGCAGCAACGCCGCGUGUGCGAUGAAGGUCUUCGGAUCGUAAAGCACUUCUCUGAGAGAUGAGAAAGGACAGUAUCUCAGGAAUAAGUCUCGGCUAACUACGUGCCAGCCGCCGCCGUAAGAC